AUUGAACGCUGGCGGCAGGCCUAACACAUGCAAGUCGAACGAGUGGCAGACGGGUGAGUCCUGUCUGGGAAACUGCCUGAUGGAGGGGGAUAUCUACUGGAAACGGUCGCUAAUACCGCAUACCAUCAGAUGUGCCCAGACGGGAUUAGCUAGUAGGUGGGGGAACGGCUCACCAACGCGACGAUCCCUAGCUGGUCUGAGAGGAUGACCAGCCACACUGGAACGGUGACACGGUCCGGACUCCUACGGGAGGCAGCAGUGGGGAAGAUUGAAAAAUGGGCGCAAGCCUGAUGCAGCCAUGCCGCGUGUAUGAAGAAGGCCUUCGGGUUGUAAAGUACUUUCAGCGGGGAGGCGUUACCCGCAGAAGAAGCACCGGCUAACUCCGUGCCAGCAGCCGCGGUAAUUC
rnacentral:rRNA from 1 species